rnacentral:lncRNA from 1 species
UCAAAUUUUUGCAAGCUUUCACAACAAUAGGAUAUCUUGCUAAAUUUAGAGAUCAAAGAGUAGGGUUUGUAGAAAGGAACUUCCAUAUUUAGCAAGUACAAUGAAUAAAAAACCCCCGGUUCUUUUCAGCAUUCGAAACAAAAACUAGCGUUUAACAUCUUCCAAGCGUGUCCAUUUUUUAUCUUCUACUGCCGGUUUUUCUUAUUGUGACGGUCCAUCCACAAUACAACUAAAAUCUAACCAACAAAAUCGUGUAUCAACUGACCUCCAAAAUGUUGCUGAAGCUGUUGAACAUGUUCAGCAUUCUGUCUAAGACCCAAAGUAAGUGAAACCGGGCCCAGCCCAGUUGCAUCAAAUGUGGCCCGAGGAUAGGGCAUGAUGCUCAUCAACCGGUCCAUGCCAGAAAGAGGAAUCUGGUACUCGGCCCUAGCUUGUUUCUCAUGGUCCCGUAGUUGGUCAUGUGGUUCAUCAGCGGUUAAAUUUACAUUCACACCCGGGUUCCUCGAACAUUCUGGUGGUUGCUGUGUGUUUGACAAUGAGCUCAUGUCCAUCCAGCUGGCCUCUUGACCAUCUGAUUGCGGGUGAGAUGAGCUUGCUUCAGCCAAGCCUUUGGUUUCAAGGGUGUGGAUCUCUUCCACCAUUGGUUUCCAAAUUCGAACCCUUGCAUUUAUAAACCAAUUGCUAACCUGGUUUCUGGUUAAGCCAGUUUGAGUUGCCAGCAUAUGCUUGUCUGCAUCCGAAGGAGAGAAAGGAGCGUUACGGGUGCAGGAAAUGAUCGAAAAGCCAAGUUUUAAGAACUGCUAUAGCGCGUUCCGGUAGACCUCUCUGUGGCCUCCACACAGGCUGUUGUGGUACAAAGAAUCCAGCCGAACCCCCACCGGAUUUUAUCCGAGAAGUACUUGUUGCGUUGGCAUCAAAAGCUUUACUGACAGUGGUAGAAGAACACAAGCCGUCUCCAACUGUUUUCCUCAUUUGUGACAGUUGCUCGGAUAUCACGUUCUUUACAUGAUGAAAAUGUCGCGAAACCGCCUUAAGAGCCAAACAAACAUAAGGAGUGGCAGCACUAAGUCCGGCCACCGUCUCAAAAGAUGAAAUCACCAUCUGCAUUUGUUGCAAAUACUGCUUGUACCUUCUGC